AUCCAGCUGAUGAGUCCCAAAUAGGACGAAACGCGUGUCCUGGGU
rnacentral:hammerhead_ribozyme from 1 species